UUCAGAGCUCCGUAGUAAAGUAGCUUGAAAUCAAAAUAAACCUUAACAGGAAACUUCGCCCUGAUAAAUUCAUCUACCAUGAUUCAGAGACUCUUCCGUUUGAUAAAGGUCUUGUCACAUUGUCGGAGACAAAGAACUCAGGGGAAGGCAUUUUUCGAACAAAAAAGGUUUUUUUUUUGAAGAACUAACCAAAGAAGGCAUAUGAAACAAACCAGACCUCAAGGAGACAAAAGAUGAGCACUACAACGGGGAAGCCCACGAACUAGCAAGAGGAGCAAUGUUAAUGACAAGACUGAGGAACACAAGACUGGGAAGCACUUUUAUACACGACUAAUGAGGAAGCAAACAAGUGGCAGCUGAAGUAAAUAACACAUGGGCAGGAACGGGAGAAACUGCAACAAGGGACAUAAAAAAUUAUGCAAAGCUGCUGUGAACAAUUCUGAUUCACAGGCUGUGACACAUUUCUUUACCGUCCCCCCUAAGCAUUCAUUCUGAUGUGUCCUUCUUCUCAGCCACUUGUGAUCUGAGGUUUCAGACUGAAUCAAGAAAUCGCAAAAGCUGCUAUGACCAGGACGCCUCUUCGUGUUGCAGUAGCUCUGUCCUGCCUGAGAACGGCCGCCUACGUGAUCCUACGUGAUUACUGCUCCACGCUGCCCCACGGCUCCACGCUGGAUUACCAGCAAUACAGAAUAAAGAUUUUUUUUGAAGGUUUUUUUUUUGCAUUAAAUACUGGAAACUAUUUGAAAAGUGCAAAACACACUUUUAUCUUGUCAGUCUUCCAUUUUAAUAUUUCUAAAACGUUAACUGUGUAGCUUGCAGUGUAGGCAAAUUUAUAUUGGUCUGUGUGUAUACUUUAUUGAAUAAAAAUGUCCAUAAAAGUGUAUUAACUUAGUAUUUAAAAAUAUUUUUAAGUUAAUUUGGAUUAAGUUUUAAUUCUAUAACUUUAUAUGAAAACUUGAAAAUACAUAUUUUUAAAUCCAGGAAUAAGGUGAUUGAAAUAUUUUAUGAACAACUUAAUUUACAAAAGAUUCCAUUUUGUGUGACAUCACAAAAUUGUUUUCCGCAAAAGGAAUAAAUUGCUGUUCUUUCCGCCUA